rnacentral:rRNA from 1 species
GACGAACGCUGGCGGCGUGCCUAAUACAUGCAAGUAGAACGCUGAAGAGAGGAGCUUGCUCUUCUUGGAUGAGUUGCGAACGGGUGAGUAACGCGUAGGUAACCUGCCUUGUAGCGGGGGAUAACUAUUGGAAACGAUAGCUAAUACCGCAUAACAAUGGAUGACACAUGUCAUUUAUUUGAAAGGGGCAAUUGCUCCACUACAAGAUGGACCUGCGUUGUAUUAGCUAGUAGGUGAGGUAAUGGCUCACCUAGGCGACGAUACAUAGCCGACCUGAGAGGGUGAUCGGCCACACUGGGACUGAGACACGGCCCAGACGCCUACGGGAGGCAGCAGUAGGGAAUCUUCGGCAAUGGGGGCAACCCUGACCGAGCAACGCCGCGUGAGGGAAGAAGGUUUUCGGAUCGGAAAGCUCGGUUGUAAGUCAAGAACGGGUGUGAGAGUGGAAAGUUCACACUGUGACGGUAGCUUACCAGAAAGGGACGGCUAACUACGUG